rnacentral:rRNA from 1 species
AUGGCCUCCACCUCCUACUGCGCCACUCCAUCUCCGUCCCUACGAUGCUCUGCCGCCUUCUUCCCCACCUUCGCCUCUCCGCCUCCCGCCCUCCGCUUCGCCGUCCCUCCGCUCCUCCCCCGCCGUCUCGCCAUAUCCCCACCGAGAGUUCGAAUUCCGGCGGUGGCGUCAGCGCUGGAGUCCCUAGUGCAGGAGUCCGAUGACGAGGACGAGGAGGACGACGGGUCUGGGCUGUUCAAGGACGAGGCGUGGGCGUCGGCGGACGAGAGGGACGCGGUGCGGUCCCCGGAGCUGGUGGUGCCCGAGCUGGAGGAGCUGCCCGAGCAGUGGCGCCGCUCCAGGAUUGCCUGGCUCUGCAAGGAGCUCCCCGCCUACAAGCACUCCACCUUCACCCGCAUCCUCAACGCCCAGCGCAAGUGGCUCACCCAGGAGGACGCCACCUACGUCGCCGUACACUGCCUCCGCAUCCGCGACAACGACGCCGCCUUCCGGGUGUUUAGCUGGAUGGAGCGGCAGCACUGGUACCGCUUCAACUUUGCGCUUGCCACAAGGGUGGCGGAUUUUCUCGGCAGGGAAGGCAAGGUUGAGAAAUGCCGGGAGAUGUUUGAGGCAAUGGUCAAGCAGGGCCGUGUGCCUGCCGAGUCCACCUUCCACAUACUGACCGUUGCGUACCUCAGUACGCCCAGGGGACGGUGCCUCGAGCACGCUUGCACUAUCUACAACCAGAUGAUACAGAUGGGCGGCUACAAGCCUCGCCUCAGCCUUCACAACUCAUUGUUCCGCGCACUUGUGAGUAAGACAGGAGGAACUGCAAAGCACAACCUCAGGCAGGCUGAGUUUGUCUACCACAAUCUUGUCACCACCAAUCUUGAGGUGCACAAGGAGGUCUAUGCUGGGCUCAUCUGGCUUCACAGCUACCAAGAUGUCAUUGAUAGAGACAGGAUCAUAGCUCUUAGGAAGGAAAUGAAGCAGGCUGGUUUUGAUGAGAGUAUUGAUGUGCUGGUGUCAGUCAUGCGGGCCUUCUCCAAAGAAGGGAGGGUUCAAGAAACAGAGGCAACAUGGCAUGAAAUUCUCCAGAGGGGUUCAGAACUUCCUGCUCAGGCCUAUGUCUGCCGAAUGGAGGUUUAUGCUCGAACUGGUGAGCCUAUGAAAUCCCUGGAUAUAUUCAGAGAAAUGAAGAGGCAAAGUAUACCCCCAAACGUUGCAACUUAUCAUAAGAUAAUUGAGAUAAUGGCAAAUGCUGAGGAGAUAGAUGUUGCGGAACAACUUAUGGAUGAAUUUUCUGAGAGUCAUAUGAAGCAUCUGAUGCCAGCAUUUCUUGCCCUGAUGUACAUGCAUUUGGAUCUUGAUAUGCAUGAGAAAUUAGAAUUAACAUUCUCGAAAUGCCUUGCUAGGUGCCGUCCAAAUAGAAUCUUGUACAUCAUCUAUCUAGAAUCACUGAUAAGGGCUGGAAAUGUCGAGAAAGCUGAGGAGGUCUUCGAUGAAAUGCACAAAAAAGGGACGAUAGGUACUAAUGCAAAAUCUUGCAACAUCAUGCUAAGAGGUUAUAUUUCUGCAGAAGACUAUCAGAAAGCUGAAAAGGUUUAUGAUAUGAUGUGUAAAAAGAAGUAUGAUGUACAAGAGGAUUUGUUGGAAGAACUUCAGACUGGCCUCCGUCUUGGUAAGAAAGUCGCUGUUAAGCCAAAACCCGUGAGCAUCAAAUUGGAUCAAGAGCAGCGUGAGAUUUUGAUUGGUUUGCUUCUGGGAGGCACACAGAUUGAAUCUCAUGCACAGAGAGGGGUCCAUAUUGUCCAUUUUAAGUUCCAGGAAGAUUCUGAUGCCCAUUCGGUCUUAAGGGUGCACAUUCAUGAGCGUUUCUUUGAAUGGCUGACUUCAGCAAGCAGAUCAUUUGAGGAUGAGAGCAAGAUACCUUAUGAGUUCUCAACCAUACCUCAUUUACAUUUCGGUUUCUUUGCUGACCAGUUCUUUCUAAAAGGCCAGCCUGUUCUCCCAAAGCUUAUCCACAGGUGGUUAUCUCCACGUGUUCUAGCGUAUUGGUUCAUGUUUGGAGGCCUCAAACUCUCGUCAGGUGAUAUCGUUCUCAAGGUCAGUGGUGGGAACAGUGAGGGUGUUGAAAGAAUUGUAAACUCCUUGCAUGCACAGUCCUUACCUAGUAAAGUGAAGAGGAAAGGGCAAUUCUUCUGGAUAGGUUUUCAGGGGAGCAAUGCCGAUUCUUUCUGGAAAGUUAUAGAACCUUAUGUAUUGGACGGUUUCUUGGGUUUGACAACACAGGAAAGCGGCACCGCAGGUUCUGGUGAUGACCAAGAAACUGAUACUGAUUCUGAUGAUGAUGCUCAUAAGUAUGGAAGUGAAGAGUGA